rnacentral:tRNA from 1 species
GUAGGUAUCAUACUUUAUAAAGAAGAUAUGAUUUGCAAUCAUACAGAAAGGAUUACCUUUGAUA